UUUUGCAAAGCGUUUUAAUAUGAGAGUGAGAAAUGCGAAGUGACCCUGUAAGAAACGGUUGUGGAUUAUGGCUAUCCCUGUGUGAAUUUGUACAGUCUGAUGAGCGUGUACCGUUUAGCAGUUUCGGUUUGCUAUAUAUGUAAAACAGUGGCUGUGACAAAGGGUGCGGUGGCGUAAGUGUAAACGCAUAAGAAGCGCAGGUGAAAUACGGUUAGUGUAUGUACUCACGGAUUUGACGGCCAUCUAACGAGCCUUGAUUGACAAAAGAAUCAGCAAGCCCGUAGAAUUAGAGCUCCCUAGGUCGCAACUUGUAUACCCUUCUGUCCUGCUCCGUUGUCUGUUAUUUCGUGGAGAUGCACUUUUAGUGUUUGUAAGGUUUAUAAGGCAUUUUGAUUACAGCCCGACCAAUAUUUAUUUGACUUUUUUGACGGCAUCGGGAUCGGCAGUUAUGCCGCCGAUGUGCCCCGAUUUUUUAAAUAAGUAUAAUAAACAAAAAAACAAUGAUUAUUUAUCUGUACUUGUCUGGUCGAAUGUUGUAAUUGCUAUUUACUAGAAUUAUCCAGUAGAGGGCGCUCUAAUACAAGUGUGAACUGCAGCAGCUGACGCGCUACUUCUCUAAUAAGACGUUUGUCACUUGUGUCUCAUCCAAUAUUCUCCACUGCAAUACUUGUCUGAUUCGAUUGCCGCAAUAAAGGUAUGUAUAUUUAGUGAAAGUGUUUAAUUAAAUGCGUUUAUACGACCACUGUUUAUCAAUCCUCAUUAUCAAGCGAGCGAGCUAGCUAACAUAUUUGGUUCACUUUAGCAAGCUAGCUGGCUAGCAAGCCUUUAUGAAGUGGCAGUGAGCACAUAAGCAGCGUAGGAACUACAUUUCCAGAGGACAUUGCUGUAAUCUCAAAUAAAUAAAAAUAAAAUGGUGAUUGAUUGUAUUACACAUUUGUUUUUUUUAUCUGAGAUAAUGAUAUUAGCUACUAUAUGAUGCUGUGUAAAUAGCCAACGCGUGAUUGCAAGCGAGUGUGUCAUCUAGUCAUGUAAAAACGCAGAUAAAACACUUCUAACGUGGAUCAUUUUAAGCCAUGUUAUCUAGCUUUGUCGUGAUAACAUGAGAAGGAUUGCUGUUGGAGAAGUGAAUCAAGCAACAGUUAGCGCGGGUAACCUGCACGAAAGCGCAUUGUAGUUUUUUUCACGUAUUUCAUCCGGUCAAUUUAAUUUCAUCUAACGUUACACUUGAUUCACUCUUAAGCUCUGCUAGAUAACGUCUUACUCUUUGAGAUCAUGUAGUAGGAAUAAAAUAAGAAAAUAUAAUUAAUGUACUGAGAAUAGAUACUAAGAAAUAAUAAUAACAAAUUAAUAACAACAACAACAAUAAUAAUAUUCAUAAAAAUACAUGUUUGAAACUGGAAAACUGAUUUUUUUAAAUUAAUUUUUUAUAGAUGGCUGGAAAAGAAAGGAGUAAAAGCAAGGUGUGGAGUUAUUUUGAUUUCACACACUUAAAGAUGGUGUUAAAAUAUAUAUUUAAUUUAAUAUCUUUGUGUGUUUAUUUUUAUUUGUUUGCUUAAGUUAAAUGUUCUUAAAUAUAGAAACUUUAAUAAAAUAAGUUUUUCAAAUUGAUUUGAAAAUGUUGCACUUUUUGACAAAAUAUUGGUCAAAACAUUGAUAAUCGGUGGGCUAGGACUCUCCAAAAUCGGGAUCGGCAUCGGACCAAAAAAUCUGGCAUCGGUCGGGCUCUAAUUUUAAUAGGCUUAUUUGCAGGUAGGAAUCCUCUUCGCUGUUUUGCUAAGCUAGAACCGGAAAAGUUGAUAGUGGAGAAUAGGAGCAGACGCAUAUGUCCCAGCAGGCUUUGCAUAUGAGAAAAUAACAACAGUGUGAGAGAAAUUAGGAUGAAAUUAUGAAAUUGCGUAGUUGAAACAAUAUGUUUUUAGCAGAAUGGGCAUGUAAGUGAAGGUUGACAUGAUCACAGACUAUAGUGCGAAGUAAAUGAAGUGACCACGAGUGAGCUUAGUUUCCUUAUCGAACGGUAUAUAUAACAGUCUGUAAAAAGUAUUGAUUGUUAAACUGGAGGGUUAAGUAACGUGUGAAAUCUAUUGCACUGAUAUGCUUUUUUCAUGUUCAGUACUAGUAGUUAUAAUUAUGAGUGAGUCGUGAAUUUAAAUGUAAUGUUUUAAUGGGGAGUUGCAGAACAUACGUAGUAAUUGUUUGUAUGUGGCUAGAUAGAGAACAGGGCGAGGUAACAUGAAUGUAGAAACGUGGCGUUUGCUGAUAAGAAGGUUUUGUAGGGUAGCCAAGUGAAGAAAUAUAGUUAGUAGAAAUGGCACAGUGGUGAACUGGUGUAACUUUUUAAAUAAAAGGAAUACAUUUGCCGUCAUGAAAUGCAUAUGGGUGGCCGUGAGUGAGUUUUGGUAAAGCAAAUAUAAGCGUAAGAAAACGUUAGUUUAAAAGAGGAAAAUAUCUGCCUGCGGGCGAGGCGGGAUUCAAUCCUUCAACCGGAGGUUUACCAGUGUGUGACUUUGUUAGUGCAGCACCAUGACAUAGCUGUUCAAUGUGUGAAAUAUCAUUAGCAAACCUGUCUGUGGUUUUAAAGAACACAGGCGAGUAAGCACAGAAGAGCUCCCGUUGAAUCCAUAUGGCUCUGCAAUAUUGUAGCCGGUUAAUAACUGAACGUGCAGACGGUACGUCAUAAUACUUCUCAUAAUGCAGUGUAUACGUUCGGUGAACGGCGGGUAGAUAUGGUGCAAAAGCAAUAAUUGAGAAGAAGUAGACAAUUAUUAGUAAGGGUAAAAGCAGGUUGAAGAAACGUGUUCCUAGCUGGGCUUGAACCUAGAACCCUGUAUUCCCAAGACUGUAACCUUGCCCACUAGGCCACAGGCGGACUAGCUGUUUAAACUGGAAAUGUUUCAGAGGAAAAAGGUAUGGGUAUUUUGCGUGUGUAUGCACGUUUUUGAUUGGGUCGUGUAGGUGAAGAUUUGGCUGGUGUCGGUGAAAUGUCCAAUGGGGAGACAUGUUGUUACUGGGAUAGGCGGCAGGAAAAAUAAGAGAAGAAGGAGAAAACGCAAAAUCCCCUUAGUUUGGGGCUUUAUUGUGUGGACAUGAAGUUGUUUAUGAAAUCUGUCUGAAAUGGGGUCAGAAUGUACAGAAUGUAAUGUUUUUAAGGGCUGAGUGUCUGUGGCUGUUGUGGUUAUUUCUGUGGGGAACCCUGAAAAGUGGCAAACUCUCGGUGCUGUAUAGGUAUGGGGCAUGCCCCCGCCAAGGCGUAACUUGGCGGGAUGGCAUACCUGCCAUCCCAAUAAUGGACAAAAAUCAUUUUAUUCUUUUUCGAUAAGUUUCUGGACCCCUAGAUAUUUUAGACCACUGUACUGACGGAAAGCUUGUAAUUCCCACUUAUAAAUGAUGCAACAGUGAGUUUCUUGAGUCAAAACAGUUGAUUUGUAGUGAAAUACGUAAAUAUGUUGUGAUGUACAGCAAUGCAUAAUUUAGACAUUUUGGAUAGAUUUGGAGACAUUGGGUACACUGCUUAGUUUUUGCUUCAUAAAUCUAUAGUAGUUCUUCCUUAUAUUUUAUGAACUUGUGGUCAAGAAGUUUUUGAUCCAGCACAUGUGUAGUUUAACCUGCUGUAUAUAUGAAAUCUCUCAGUAUUUCAUUGCAAACUAAAAAAGUGCAAAUUCAUUUUUGAUUUUGUCUAAACAAUUGCAUUUGUGGCACAUUUCUUCUUCAAAAUUAUGAAUAUAAAUUAAUCUGCGUUAGUAUUGUAAAUUGUCUUGCUACAAAUGUCUUGCUUCAUUUAAACCAUUUUUCAAGUCUCUGGUGUUCACAUCUGGAGUUAUAAAGCUUUAAAUAAGGUACCCCCUAAAUGGGCAGGGAUGGCAAGGUUUGGUAUGUGCGCUAAGGGGUUAAUUAAUGCAGUAGUAUAUGAACUGAACAAAGCGUUAGUAAAAUGGAAAAUGUGUUUAUCUGUGUUUUGGCGUAAACUAGCCUAUUCAAAUUUCACAUUUUAAUACAACGUCAGACAACCAUUAAUUAUCACAUGGACAGGACAAGUAUGGCAUUUGUAAUUAACGUUCAUUUUGCUGUAUGAAGGUGUAGGCUAAUAUGACUUUUUCCUACAGAAACGGACUGUGUGCUGCCCACUGUCUCAAAGGCUGUGCUGUCCGCGUGCCUGCAUCUACCAACAUCUCCAAGACCCUAUGGAACAAGUUCCAUUUAUCAGACAUUAGGCUUUCCUUGCUCCAAUUUAGUGCCAGAGUUCUCCUUUACCAUUGUUGAGAAUAAUUUCAGAUUGCACCUUGCUGUAUUACACUGUCUAUUUCCUUCAUUUUGACAGACACACCCAUUAUAAAAUGGCUGCUCCAAUGAAGCUCAGGGUGAUUCUGGGACCAAACAACUCCCAAAAAUGGGUCCUUCCCAAUGGGAUGCCUGCGUCUGUCGGUGAACUUUCAGACCAAGUAAAGAAAUAGUGUGGAGUAGAUGGGGACUUCAGGCUUAAAUAUAUGGAUGGUGAUUUCGGGAAUUAAUUCAUCAACUUGCUCUCAACAUCAGAUGUGAAGGUAAAGUAAUCCUUACUUCUACCACCAGCUCUGAUAGUCCUGUUGCACUUGGAAUGCCUGAUGACAUUGUAACCUUAACCCUGUUGCCUCCUUCCCAAGCAAGCACCACAUCCCAUUUUUUGAACAGCUCCCUGUCGGUGUCUCAGUGUGACACAAAUAUACUGUCAUCUCCUGAAUCCACCACCUAUCGCACUCCACGUCCUCAAGGUCCGCUGGACGGCCUAGUGGCAUCUUCCCAGUGCCUCGGUUUUCUUAUGAUACACAGCUGGAGCUGGAAAAGGCUAAUGCUGCUUUCCAGAAGGAUGGUACAUUGCAUAAUCCUAGGCAUAAACUUAAAUGUGCCAUCCUUGAUGGCUUAAUAGAGGAGAUCAUGAAGUUUAAAAUAUACCUCUGACUUAGCCAAUGCUGCCUCAGCCCUUGUAAAACCCCAUCCUUGUUUAAGAGAGCCAGGGUCAGUCUGUGGUUAUGAUGGAUGGAAGGUGAGCCUACAGUUUAAGCUUGGAAACUUCAGGAGGCAACUUCGGGAGCUUGAAACUCCAGAGGUUACUGUCAAUGCCCUCAAAAACAAACCUAAUGGCAAAUGCAGUCCUGCCUACAGAAAAACUAAGACAGGCUGAAGUCAAUUACUACCCCAAUUACCAAUCAGGUGAAACAACGGAGACACUGGAGCAGACGAGAGUGCUUCUGCUUGCAGAAGUGAAGAAAAGACACAAUGAGGAGAAUGUCAAAAAAAUGAUGGACAAGACAUUUGCUCUGAGAAGAUGGGAGAUUGUUCAAGACUCUCCUCUGAUUGUGAAUUUUAAAUUGAGGUGGCCAGCUCUAUUUCAAGUGAAUGAGGUCAGUGGAACAUAAGUAUAGGACCAUCCCAUGUUUUUAAUUACUGAAAAAGAUUGAAUCAAAAUACAUUUUGUGUAAUUGUCUUUCUUUAAAUAUGUGCUUGUAGCUGGAGGCGGAGUUCAAAUGAAUAACCACAGUCCAUCUGCAGUCCCAAUUCUUUUCGAGGCUGGACUUGCUUGCCGAGAACCUGAUGGGGGUGUAUGCUAAGAAAGGUGGUGUUGCCGGAAGAAAAAUAAGAUCCAUUAUGGCACGCAUGUCCCAGAAUGAAACCAUUAACAUCAAAUGUGAAUGCCUCCUCCGUAGUCUUUGUGUUUACUUGAAUGAGGAUCCAGAACACCUUGUGAAAGAAUACAAGGCUACUGGUGAAGAAGACUUUCCAGGGGAGAUGGCAGAAAUGGCCAUGGCCAUUUUUGUCAUUACACACAAGGGUGCAGAGCCCAGAGAACCCAUCAAACAUUGGAAUCUUCAUGGAGGGGGUGGAGGUCCUUAGUGAGUUGAGCAGCGUGCCUUUGGCAGUAGCCAUGUUUCUGGGUCUCACAUAUACACUUAACCUGAGCUACCCAUCAGUGCACAGAUACACUUUUGAAGCUCUUCAAAAGAUUGUUAUGCAAUCAGAUGACAAAAAACUAUCGACAAAAGUGCAAACACUAAAAAAGACAAGCUUCACAUUAGUGAGAAGCAUUUUUUUUUUCUUUCACUUUUUAAACUUGUAAAAUUUUGGAAUAUUGAUGUGAAAGAGAGACACUUUCCAAAUCUGUG